UUGUUCAUAGAAUGAAGCAAAGCAUGUUAUUUAUUCGUGGGACUCUGUUAAGUUUGUUGUCUAGAGAUCUGCUAAUCAAGCAGCUGGCCGAGCUCCCAAAGCUUCAGGUCGCUUGUGACUGGGCUUAUCUGACGAGGCAAAGCCAUAAAAGGCCCUUUGGAGCUUGUAAUUGGGCUAGGCCUUUUUUUGAUCCAUUUGUUGGCAGUCGUCCCGAUCGCACUAGCUCGCCUCAAUGGUCACAGAGCUUGAGUUUCAGAGCUAGGCUUCAGAAAUCAUCAGUGUCAAAGGAGUGAUUGGUUAUACAGAAGCGGAAGAUCCGAGAAAAACCCCAGAAAAAGAAAAUGGCAGGGAGAUUGAGCAACGUGGCAUCACGG
rnacentral:misc_RNA from 1 species